GUGCUCACUAUUGCAGCACAUAUACUAAAACCAGAAUGAUAGAGAGAAGACUGGCAUAGCCCCUGAACACAGAUAACAUCCAAAUUUGUGAAGCAUUCCAUAUUUCU
rnacentral:snRNA from 1 species